rnacentral:misc_RNA from 1 species
AGGAAACCAAUAAAAUCAAUCAUCUUCAGUUUUGAAAGACUUAGGAUAACUAAGUUUUUCUUCGUGACUUCACGAAGGGCCUAUAGCUCAGUUGGUUAGAGCACACGCCUGAUAAGCGUGAGGUCGGUGGUUCAAGUCCAUUUAGGCCCACCAGAGUUAUAGGUGUCGUAAGAACACAAAUUCUUUGAAAAUUAGGUAAAUAAUAGUUAUUUUUCCGGAACAUU